rnacentral:tRNA from 1 species
GUAGUUCAGCUGGUUAGAAUGCCGGCCUGUCACGCCGGAGGUCGCGGGUUCGAGUCCCGUC